GGUAUUUUGACCGUGCAAAGGUAGCGCAAUCACUUGUCUUUUAAAUAAAGACCGGUUGAAUGGCAAGACGAGGGCUUGACUGUCUCCUUUUUCAUGUCAAUGAAAUUGAUCUCCCCGUGCAGAAGCGGGGACACCAACAUAAGACGAGAAGACCCUAUGGAGCUUCAGACACGAAAGCAGCCUAUGUCAAUUACUCUGGCACAACAGAAUGAACUAAAUAGGCCUGCCCGAAUGUCUUUGGUUGGGGCGACCGCGGGGAAAUAAAUAACCCCCCAUGUGGAAUGGGAGCACCAUCCUCCUAAAACUAAGAGUGACAACUCUAAGUAACAGAAAUUCUGACCAGCUAGAUCCGGCCAUGCCGAUCAACGGACCGAGUUACCCUAGGGAUAACAGCGCAAUCCUCUUUUAGAGCCCAUAUCGACAAGGGGGUUUACGACCUCGAUGUUGGAUCAGGACAUCCUAAUGGUGUAGCCGCUAUUAAGGGUUCGUUUGUU
rnacentral:rRNA from 1 species